rnacentral:rRNA from 1 species
UAUGUGAUCGUCUCUCGCAUAUCAAUAAGCGGAGGAAAAGAAACUAACAAGGAUUCCCCUAGUAACGGCGAGUGAAGCGGGAAGAGCUCAAAUUUGAAAUCUUAAAGGGUUUCCCUUUACGAAUUGUAGUUUAAAGAAGUGUUUUCUGUUGAGGUUUUGGUAAAAGUUCUUUGGAAUAGGACAUCAUAGAGGGUGAGAAUCCCGUAUUUGACCUUUACUUUCAACUUUGUGAUACACUUUCAAAGAGUCGGAUUGUUUGGGAAUGCAGUCCAAAAUGGGUGGUAAAUUUCAUCUAAAGCUAAAUAUUGGCGAGAGACCGAUAGCGAACAAGUACCGUGAGGGAAAGAUGAAAAGAACUUUGAAAAGAGAGUUAAACAGUACGUGAAAUUGUCAAAAGGGAAGCGUUUGACACCAGUGUUGUUUUUCUGAAGAUCAAUUAAAGAACUGUUUAUGCUAAGUUGUUUAGACUUUAUCAGCUAUCUGCUUAGUUUUGAGCUUUUCUUUAAUGCACUUUUCAGUUAACAAGUCAACAUCAAUUUCUUUUGCUGUAAAAAAGCUUGAGGAAGGUGGCUUGAGAUUCGUCUUAAGUGUUUAUAGCCUCUUGCCUAUGCAGUCGGAGAGAUUGAGGUCUGCAGCGUAGAUCCUUCGGGGCUAAAUGCAUUUGUGCUAAGUUAUAGCAUUUUAUAGACAACUUGUUGACUAUGAUUUGUCUUGUAGCUUACUCGCUUAUGUUAUUUUACCUACGCUUAGGAUGUUGACACACGCGCGUGCUCG